GUGCUUGCUUUGGCAACACAUAAACUAAAAUUGGAAUAGCAAAGAGAAGAUUAGCAUGGCCCCUGCAUAAAGAUGACAUGCAAAAUUGCAAAACAUUCCAUAUUUUU
ensembl:snRNA U6 U6 spliceosomal RNA